rnacentral:rRNA from 1 species
AGAGUUUGAUCCUGGCUCAGAUUGAACGCUGGCGGUAUGCUUAACACAUGCAAGUCGAACGGUAACAGGAAAAGCUUGCUUUUCGCUGACGAGUGGCGGACGGGUGCGUAAUGCGUAGGAAUCUGCCUAGUAGUGGGGGACAACUCGGAGAAAUUCGAGCUAAUACCGCAUAAGCCCUACGGGGGAAAACGGGGGAUCUUCUGACCUCGUGCUAUUAGAUGAGCCUACGUUAGAUUAGCUUGUUGGUGAGGUAAAAGCUCACCAAGGCGACGAUCUAUAGCUGGUCUGAGAGGAUGAUCAGCCACACUGGGACUGAGGCACGGCCCAGACUCCUACGGGAGGCAGCAGUGGGGAAUAUUGGACAAUGGGCGAAAGCCUGAUCCAGCAAUACCGCGUGUGUGAAGAAGGCCUGAGGGUUGUAAAGCACUUUCAAUUGGGAGGAAUACCUAAUGGUUAAUAGCCAUUAGAUUGACAUUACCUUUAGAAGAAGCACCGGCUAACUCCGUGCCAGCAGCCGCGGUAAUACGGAGGGUGCAAGCGUUAAUCGGAAUUACUGGGCGUAAAGCGUUCGUAGGCGGUUUGUUAAGUUAGAUGUGAAAGCCCCGGGCUUAA